rnacentral:lncRNA from 1 species
CCGUGAAGAUUAUAUCAACGAGCUUAUCAGGAGAAUGAACUAGAUUGUGUCACUUCUAUUUUGUUGGUGAAUUGAGGUUUUUUGUUUCAUAUUUGAAGUUGUAGAAUUCUCUGUUUCCUUUUCAUUUUUCCUUGGAUAGCUAUCAUGCCGUUAAAGAUUGAUUUUGUUUUGAGAUUUGUACGAGAAUCUAUUAAUUUAAGGCUUAGCGUGCAUGGUAUCUGUUUAACGCGAGGCUUUCAUCUUCUCUGUUUGAUGGUCAUACUAGGCUUAUGCUUCCACCUUGAUGAUGUUAAUUGCUAUUGCUCUACCUUUACUUAACAAGCGUGCCAUGAUUUUGUAUGCUAGAGUAUCUUCAUUCAUGUUUCAUAGAGAUAAAAUGGUCUGAAGUGACAACUACAAAUUUCUUGCUUCAGCUAUUAUGAGUAAAAAGUUCCACUGAACUUUGC